ACGUGGUUGUUCAGAGCAGCAACUUCACUGACUCUGCCUGCCACAGAUUUGGACAAAGUGACACAGGGGAGGUAGACUUGAUUGCCUCUUGUGCCUUCACAAAGCAGCUGUAUCAACAAUCCCAGACAGAAGACCAGAGCAUCACAACACCAAGAGAAAAACACAAAAAAGAUGACUGCUAGAAGGUUUGAAUACCCUUAAGGAGCAGAACAUGACA